UAUCUUUGUGUUUGAGAGGGUGUGAUAGUAAGAUACAUGGACUUGAUGAGGAAGACAAAAAGUAGAGUGAGAAUUGGUGAGGAAUAGAGUGAGACAUUUUAGACAAGUAAGGAGGUAAAGCAGGGAGAUCCACUGAGCCCUUCCUUAUUUAACAUUUUAACCGCGGACAAAUAUAUAGGAAAGGAAAAGUAGGGAAAGGUAAAGUUGAAAGGGAAAAAGAUAUACACGCUGGCCUACGCAAACAGUAUGGUGCUGAUAGCGGAGGAGGAGGACGAGAUAAGGGCAAUAAUAACAAGAUUUGAAAGAUAUAUAAGGGAGAAGAGAUUAAUAAUAAACGUGAGGAAAUCACAGAUAAUAAGAUUUGGAAAGAGGGGGGGGGCAAGGUGAGUUGGAGAUGGAAGGAAAAGGUGAUAGAAAAAGUAAAGAAAUUUAACUACGUAGGGUAUAUGUUCCAAAGUAAUGGUAAGCAGGAUGAGCAGAUAAGGAAUAAAGUGAGCAGAGAAGGGAAAUGACAGUACUAGGACAAGUUUGGGGGAUAGAAAAAAGGAAGUUUGGAGGGGACUGAGAAAACAGGAUAUGGCUUUUCGAUGCACUGGUUUGGACGGUGAUGACGUAUGGAACAGAGAUCUAAGAAAAGAAAGAGAGGGAAAUGGUGGAGAAGAUGCAGGAGAGAUAUUUGAAAUAGAUACUGGGGUAAGUUAGAGAGUGCCGGAAUAUUUAUUAAAGGAGGAACUGUUACAAAAUAAACUAAGAACAAAAGCGGGAAGGAGGGCUUGGGGAUUUGAAGAAAGAUUUGCGGAGGGGAGAAGACGUGAAUGCGAGAAGAUGUUUGGAGAAAAUGAAAGAAAGAGCGCAAAGAGGAGAAGAAAUGUCGGAAUAGGACAAAAAAAGGUUUUUUCAAAGAUAGGGGAAUAAAAGUGAAGAAAAUGGAGAAAGAAAAAGAGGGACGAAGUGUGUGACUUUUGCAGAGAGAAGAAGAGGAAUAGAGAAAGGUAAAGAGAGGUAAGGUGGAAAAGAAUUAAAGGAUCGAAGGGGAAUAAAUAGUACCAAAAAAUUAAAGGAGGAGUACCGGGAUAUUUAAGAAAAAAAUGGGCAGAAAAUAGGUGGAACACGGUAGCUAAAUAUAGAUUAGAGGAGGGAGAGGAGCUAUUGGGCAAGUAAAAAAGACAGGAAAUGCAGGAUGUGUAGAAUGAAGGAGUCAUAGGAACACGUAUGAGAAGAAUGUGGAAGUUGGGGGGAAGAAGGGAGCUGGGAGGAGAUGGUAUAGAAAGUGUUAGAAGAGGAUGGAGAGAAAGAGAGGAAUAGUUGAGGAAGCUAGAAAAAUUCAGAGAGAAAGGAGGGAUGGAAAAGAGUAAGGGGAGGGAGAGAUGGGAGGAGUAAUAAGAGAGAGUGGGUGAGAUGGAGAGUAUAAGGGGAAGAGUGUGGAAGGGAAUGAGUGGAAAAAGGAGAAUGAAAGAAAAAACAGGAAAGUGUGUGUGUGUGUGUGUGUGUGUGUGUGCGCGCGCGCACGCGU